GACGUAGGGGGCCAGCGUUGUUCGGAAUCAUUGGGCGUAAAGGGCGCGUAGGCGGCUUUGCAAGUCGAAUGUGAAAGCCCAGGGCUCAACCUUGGAAGUGCAUCCGAAACUGCGAAACUUGAAUCCUGGAGAGGGUGGUGGAAUUCCCAGUGUAGAGGUGAAAUUCGUAGAUAUUGGGAGGAACACCGGUGGCGAAGGCGACCACCUGGACAGAGAUUGACGCUGAGGCGCGAG
rnacentral:rRNA from 1 species